GGUGGUUCUUAGGUGACACACCCUGAAAUCAGGCUCCCUCCUCUCUGGUUCCGGUUGUGUUACCUGGGAACCACA
rfam:Myotis lucifugus cont2.11056, whole genome shotgun sequence.